rnacentral:rRNA from 1 species
ACGGAAGGCAGCAGUGGGGAAUAUUGCACAAUGGGGGAAACCCUGAUGCAGCGACGCCGCGUGAGCGAUGAAGUAUUUCGGUACGUAAAGCUCUAUCAGCAGGGAAGAUAAUGACGGUACCUGACUAAGAAGCCCCGGCUAACUACGUGCCAGCAGCCGCGGUAAUACGUAGGGGGCAAGCGUUAUCCGGAUUUACUGGGUGUAAAGGGAGCGUAGGCGGUACGGCAAGUCAGAAGUGAAAGCCCGGGGCUCAACUCCGGGAUUGCUUUUGAAACUGUCGAACUAGAGUGUCGGAGAGGUAAGUGGAAUUCCUAGUGUAGCGGUGAAAUGCGUAGAUAUUAGGAGGAACACCAGUGGCGAAGGCGGCUUACUGGACUGUAACUGACGUUGAGGCUCGAAAGCGUGGGGAGCAAACAGGAUUAGAUACCCUGGUA